UCUCGUCUGAUCUCAGAAGCUAAGCAGGGUCAGACCUGGUUAGUACUUGGAUGGGAAACUU
rnacentral:miRNA from 1 species